CCUCAAUACUGAAGAUGCCCCUAGUUGAUCUUGUUUGAUCUCAGAAGUUAAGCAGGGUCUAGCCUAGUUAGUAUUUGGAGACUGCCUGGGAAUACUGAAGGUUACAUUAGGA
rnacentral:rRNA from 1 species